rnacentral:rRNA from 1 species
UACAGAGGUCCCAAGCGUUGUUCGGAAUUACUGGGCGUAAAGCGUGCGCAGGCGGUUUGCUAAGACAGGUGUGAAAUCCCCGGGCUUAACCUGGGAACUGCGCUUGUAACUGGCAAGCUAGAGUGUGGCAGAGGGGGGUGGAAUUCCACGUGUAGCAGUGAAAUGCGUAGAGAUGUGGAGGAACACCGAUGGCGAAGGCAGCCCCCUGGGCUAACACUGACGCUCAUGCACGAAAGCGUGGGGAGCAAACAGG